rnacentral:lncRNA from 1 species
CCCGGGGCAAAAAAGAGUAUAUUGAUAUUGUGCUCUCCAAAUGACGUGACGUCAUUGCGUCCUUAACGACAAUGGCUAACAAUGACAGUGCAAAAUUCUCGCGUUUAUAUAUUGCCAUAUUCCAAAUUUCUCGCGUUUGUGUAUUGCCAUAUUCCAAAACUCCCGCGUUUGUGUAUUGCCAUGUUCUAAAAUAAGUGGAAAUGUGACAAUAAAUUUCUAUGGAGUAAAU